rnacentral:lncRNA from 1 species
GUGACAUCUAGCAGUAUGUAGUGGCAACUCAAUAAAAUCGAAAUGAACCUCUAAGUAUAGUUAAUGUGUGAUUCAAUCCCUCUAUCGUGAGUCCCGACUAGAUGACAGGUUAUGGAUAAAUUAUCAAACCUCAACAUCAGUCAUAUGAUAGAUUUAAUCAGCUCAAGUCCAAUUGUGACUUCUAUAAAAAAAAAUUUUCAUCAAUCACACUGUUGUGGCCACAGACUCUCAGACUUAGCCUUUCAAAUCUCAUAGGACUACUCUCUAUUA